CUUAAACUUCAGAAUGCUCAGAGCUCUGUCAUCAAGUGAAUGGCAGCUAAGAAAUUAGACCAGCCUUACCUUUCAACUCUUUCAAGGCAGUUAUCCAAUGCAAACUUUGAAAAUGCCUUUGCUGGUUAAUCACAGAUGGACGAACCACUCCAAAAGAAACAAGAUAGCAGAUUGGUGAUCCAGUGGUGACCAGGUCUACAUGGUUUGUGAUGAGCCAGAACACCCAGGUCCUAGAACUACACAUCCCAUUACCUACAUUGCAGGAAGGGGCAAACGGAAGAGGCAUGAGGAACUUUCCACAGGCUUCCCACGUAUUCCUUAGACCCCUGUGAGGGGGGCAGGAUGGAAGUCCCAAUGUGAACAGAUGUAGCAGCCCAGUUGUGAUUUCUUUAAGGUAUGGACACACUCUUUGCUUGGGAAGU
rnacentral:lncRNA from 1 species